AAUGGCAUCCUGGCUUGUAUCAGAAAUAGUGUGGCCAGCAGGAACAGGGAAGUAAUUGUCCCCCUGUACUCAGCACUGGUGAGGCCGCACCUCAAGUACUGUGCCCAGGUUUGGGCCCCUCACUGUAAGAAAGACAUCGAGGCCCUGGAGCGUGUCCAGAGGAGGGCAAACAAAGCUGGUGAGGGGUCUGGAGCACAGACCUUAUGAAGAGCGGCUGAAGGAGCUGGGGUUGUUCUCUCUAGAGAAGAGGAGGCUCAGGGGAGACCUUAUUGCUCUCUAUAACUACCUGAAGGGAGGCUGUAGUGAGCUGGGGGUCAGCCUCUUCUCUCGUGUGACUAGUGAUAGGACGAGAGGGAAUGGCUUCAAGCUGCGUCAGGGAAGAUUCAGGCUGGACGUUAGGAAAUACUACUUCUCUGAAAGGGUGGUCAGGCACUGGAACGGGCUGCCCAGAGAGGUGGUGGAGUCACCGACCCUGGUGGUGUUCAAAGAGCGUUUGGAUGUUGUGUUGAGGGACAUGGUUUAG
rnacentral:lncRNA from 1 species